UAAUAAUCACACCAUCCCAAAACCCCCAAAUUCAUGUGUGGCCCACCUGAAUGAUUGUAUUAGCAUGAUUUCUUGUUUGUAGAUCAUUAUGGUGGGAUUCACUUAUUGUAUGUGCUGGAUGUAAUACACUCACCAUAAGGACCCCACAGAUUCUACAAUGCUUGACUUCACUAUUUUUUAGAAAAAAAAAAAAGGCAUUUUAGUCAUUUUAGCUAAAAUGACUAAAAGGCAAUCUUGUAUACUUUUUUCAAAUCAAGGCAUUGUUUAAAAAAAUUAAAAAUCUUGAGGAGCUCUACUGUAAAAAUGCAUAACCUACUCUUUGUAGACUUGAAUCAUUUGGAUUAUUGUGCUUCAGGAGUGUGAUCGAUAUACACAUGGGGUAAUAUCAAACACUGUAUAGCUGGUAAUAACUCAAGACGAAUACUACCUCAAAUGCUUGCAUGGUUGAAGUUACACUGCAGAUGAUCAAUUCAAAUCUAAGAACAUUUAAACGACAUCAUUUCAUUGAGCAAUGUGAGUAGUACAUAUGCACAAACGAGAUGGAGAAGGGGCCUAGCGGUAUAUGUGCCAACACGGUACACUUGUGGGAGAUUGAGUAAGACGGCUGGUGAUUAAUUGGAUCAAAAGUCAGGCUGGUUUGCUUGUCAGAUGUUUGGAAGACUGAGUUUUGGAAGUUCAUAUCUGCAGAGGAAUGCCAUGUUUACAUCAUUUGAGAGGCAUGCUUAAGGAUGGAAGUGGUCAGUGAGGGAGGAAUCCUCAAAGAGAGCGGAAUUCUUGGGUAUCCGAGCCAGUGUAAAGAUCUUCGUGAACUGGCAGUAGAUAUAGACUUUAUAAUGCAAUCACUUGGGCCUUUGGAAACUACGUUCUUGCUUCAAAGCCGAGCUCUAUUUUGAAUGAGUUAAGAACAUGUAAACUCCAUCAUUUCAUCGAGGAAUGUGAGUGGGACUUGUGCAAAUGAGAAAGAGAAGGGGCCUAGCAGCUCACGUGCCAACAUGGUGCACUUGUGGGAGACUGGGUCAGGCAGCUAGUGAUUUUUGAACCAAAAAUCAGGCCAAUCUGCUUAUCAGAAGUUCGCACCGAAGAUGGUUGGCAAAGAAAAUCUUACUCAUUUGCAAGCAACUUGAAACAAUAGUUCAUAUGUUAUAGGACCUUAAAGCUGUCAUAACAGUGAGAUUUCUCUCAUGUGGGCCAUAUGUUAUGGGAACUUCCAGAUGUAUGGUUUGGAUCAUCAUAUCAUGGAGUGAACAGGCAAGUUGAUUGUGUGAUCCUUGCUAGCAUAUUUCAUUUAGAACUAAAUUGUCAUUAGAUUAAUAAUCAACUUCCCUAUUAUUUUUUGUAUUUUGAACUCGAAUUUUUUGAUGAUCUGUUUCUUAGAUAUGUUCUUAUGCUAAGA